GAUGAACGCUGGCGGCGUGCCUAAUACAUGCAAGUCGAGCGAACGGACGAGAAGCUUGCUUCUCUGAUGUUAGCGGCGGACGGGUGAGUAACACGUGGAUAACCUACCUAUAAGACUGGGAUAACUUCGGGAAACCGGAGCUAAUACCGGAUAAUAUUUUGAACCGCAUGGUUCAAAAGUGAAAGACGGUCUUGCUGUCACUUAUAGAUGGAUCCGCGCUGCAUUAGCUAGUUGGUAAGGUACGGCUUACCAAGGCAACGAUGCAUAGCCGACCUGAGAGGGUGAUCGGCCACACUGGAACUGAGACACGGUCCAGACUCCUACGGGAGGCAGCAGUAGGGAAUCUUCCGCAAUGGGCGAAAGCCUGACGGAGCAACGCCGCGUGAGUGAUGAAGGUCUUCGGAUCGUAAAACUCUGUUAUUAGGGAAGAACAUAUGUGUAAGUAACUGUGCACGUCUUGACGGUACCUAAUCAGAAAGCCACGGCUAACUACGUG
rnacentral:rRNA from 1 species